UGGGGAAUAUUGCACAAUGGGCGAAAGCCUGAUGCAGCGACGCCGCGUGAGGGAUGAAGGCCUUCGGGUUGUAAACCUCUUUCAGUAGGGAAGAAGCCGGCCUUUUGGGUUGGUGACGGUACCUGCAGAAGAAGCGCCGGCUAACUACGUGCCAGCAGCCGCGGUAAUACGUAGGGCGCAAGCGUUAUCCGGAAUUAUUGGGCGUAAAGAGCUCGUAGGCGGUUUGUCGCGUCUGCCGUGAAAGUCCGGGGCUUAACUCCGGAUCUGCGGUGGGUACGGGCAGACUAGAGUGCAGUAGGGGAGACUGGAAUUCCUGGUGUAGCGGUGAAAUGCGCAGAUAUCAGGAGGAACACCGAUGGCGAAGGCAGGUCUCUGGGCUGUAACU
rnacentral:rRNA from 1 species